rnacentral:rRNA from 1 species
GAUGAACGCUAGCGGGAGGCUUAACACAUGCAAGUCGAGGGGCAGCACGAGGUAGCAAUACUUUGGUGGCGACCGGCGCACGGGUGAGUAACAGGUAUGCAACUUACCCUGUACAGGGGGAUAACCCGGAGAAAUUCGGACUAAUACCCCAUAAUGAUAUAGACAGGCAUCUGUUUAUAUUUAAAGUUCCGACGGUACAGGAUGGGCAUGCUCAACAUUAGCUAGUUGGCGGGGUAACGGCCCACCAAGGCUACGAUGUUUAGGGGUCCUGAGAGGGUGAUCCCCCACACUGGUACUGAGACACGGACCAGACUCCUACGGGAGGCAGCAGUGAGGAAUAUUGGUCAAUGGGCGCAAGCCUGAACCAGCCAUCCCGCGUGAAGGAAGACGGCGCUAUGCGUUGUAAACUUCUUUUCCAGGGGAAUAAAAUGAGGUACGUGUACUUCAUUGCAGGUACCCUGGGAAUAAGCAUCGGCUAACUCCGUG